rnacentral:lncRNA from 1 species
CUCCCAGUAAAUGGGACUAGACACUGCCUCUGACACUGAAGAUAAGACAGUGAAGUCUUUAACUGCUCCAGAAGAAGAGGGUCUGGAAAGAAAAUGUCUCUGGCAAAAAAGUAUCAGGCACAUGAUACUGCAGAGAUUCCAAAUCAGAAGUAAAUCAGCCAGACAGUUGCCUCCUGCCUUCCUAAACAGGCAAACAUAUUAG